rnacentral:rRNA from 1 species
CACGUAGGGGGCGAGCGUUGUCCGGAUUUAUUGGGCGUAAAGAGCGUGUAGGCGGCCUGGUAGGUCUGCUGUGAAAACUCGAGGCUCAACCUCGAGAUGUCGGCGGAAACCAUUUGGCUAGAGUCCGGAAGAGGAGAGUGGAAUUCCUGGUGUAGCGGUGAAAUGCGCAGAUAUCAGGAAGAACACCUAUGGCGAAGGCAGCUCUCUGGGACGGUACUGACGCUGAGACGCGAAAGCGUGGGGAGCGAACAGG